AGUCGAGCGGGGAUAGGGUGCUUGCACCUGAUUCCUAGCGGCGGACGGGUGAGUAAUGCUUAGGAAUCUGCCUAUUAGUGGGGGACAACGUUCCGAAAGGGACGCUAAUACCGCAUACGUCCUACGGGAGAAAGCAGGGGAUCUUCGGACCUUGCGCUAAUAGAUGAGCCUAAGUCGGAUUAGCUAGUUGGUGGGGUAAAGGCCUACCAAGGCGACGAUCUGUAGCGGGUCUGAGAGGAUGAUCCGCCACACUGGGACUGAGACACGGCCCAGACUCCUACGGGAGGCAGCAGUGAGGAAUAUUGGACAAUGGGGGGAACCCUGAUCCAGCCAUGCCGCGUGUGUGAAGAAGGCCUUUUGGUUGUAAAGCACUUUAAGCGAGGAGGAGGCUACCGAGAUUAAUACUCUUGGAUAGUGGACGUUACUCGCAGAAUAAGCACCGGCUAACUCUGUGCCAGCAGCCGCGGUAAUACAGAGGGUGCAAGCGUUAAUCGGAUUUACUGGGCGUAAAGCGCGCGUAGGUGGCCAAUUAAGUCAAAUGUGAAAUCCCCGAGCUUAACUUGGGAAUUGCAUUCGAUACUGGUUGGCUAGAGUAUGGGAGAGGAUGGGUAGAAUUCCAGGUGUAGCGGUGAAAUGCGUAGAGAUCUGGAGGAAUACCGAUGGCGAAAGCAGCCAUCUGGCCUAAUACUGACACUGAGGUGCGAAAGCAUGGGGAGCAAACAGGAUUAGAUACCCUGGUA
rnacentral:rRNA from 1 species